CCUACGGGAGGCAGCAGUGAGGAAUAUUGGUCAAUGGGCUUACGCCUGAACCAGCCAAGUCGCGUGAGGGAAGACUGCCCUAUGGGUUGUAAACCUCUUUUGUCAGGGAGCAACGCCGGCUACGUGUAGCCGGACUGAGAGUACCUGAAGAAAAAGCAUCGGCUAACUCGGUGCCAGCAGCCGCGGUAAUACGGAGGAUGCGAGCGUUAUCCGGAUUUAUUGGGUUUAAAGGGUGCGUAGGCGGAAUGCCAAGUCAGCGGUAAAAUCGCGGGGCUCAACCUCGCUUCGCCGUUGAAACUGGCGGUCUUGAGUGGGCGAGAAGUAUGCGGAAGGCGUGGUGUAGCGGUGAAAUGCAUAGAUAUCUCGCAGAACUCCGAUUGCGAAGGCAGCAUACCGGCGCCCAACUGACGCUGAAGUACGAAAGCGUGGGUAUCGAACAGGAUUAGAUACCCCAGUAGUC
rnacentral:rRNA from 1 species